CGGAAUUGAAAUAAUAUACUGAAACUAUACUGUACACAGAUCUUUGUACAUUUGUCUAUCUUUUAUGCAUAGUGUAUAUUAAAUUAAAGGUAUUAUCUAUCUUUGUUCGCGUGGGUUAUAGAUAUCGAGGAUUAAACAAUUCACACGAAUAACAAUAUUCAGGCUUUUCUAACCAAGUCCAAUGAUAACUUUUUUGUGUCAUUAUAAAGCAAAAAUUACCAAUUAAAUACUAGUCAAAUAAAAAUUACCGAUCGGAAAUCACAUUUUCAACAUUUGGGAAUUGGGCGCUGAACAUGUAGCUACU